UAGGAAUCAUCGACAAUUACAUAGACCAUUAUACCCCUAUUAUUUUCUACAUGCAUUUUGUUUUCGUGAUGCCCACAACUUUUAGUAGAUCAUAUAUCUGAUAAACCAAAUAUACACGAAAUCUAUUCAUGUCAAACAACUUGAAAUAUUCUAAUGUUUUUGAAAAGUUUCCCCUUAUCGUAAAAAUCUAGACACCCAAAAGCACAUCUUCUUCUUCUAUUUAUAUUCAACUGUUCUGUAUUCAAGAAAAAAAAUCAACUGUUCUUCUCUUGUUUGAUACAUAUCCGAAGAAUAUCUCUUGCAAGGCGCAAGUUAUUUCCAUAAUUUCGGCUGGUGUUGAACAAAAUAAUGUCAACCUGGAACUUGGCUGGUCCGACGACGAAGAAGAUGUUCAAGUUGAAAAUCUUGUCAAGUGUAUCAAAGAAGUUUUCUCUUUUUCUAAUUCCCAUUUCACAGGCGGAGCCACCAAAGCUGAUGUUAUCCGGAUGCGUGAUGAAGCCAAAAAGGAAAACAAAACUUGUAAAACCGCAAGAGCCAACCCAAAACAACAUGUGUCCCAUGCAAUCGACGCAGACAAUAAUAUCUCUAAACUAUGCUAAAGAUUUGUGAAGUAGUUCUAACUUUGAAAAUGUCUUUGUCAAAACUUUACAGAACCUGUAACAAAAAUGGAAAAUCAAACUAACAAGACAGCUUAACUCGGCUAAAA